rnacentral:lncRNA from 1 species
AAUGAAUCACUUUGAAUGCUUUGCUGAUAAAAUGUACUACAUAAUGUUGCCUUGCCUUAUUAUUGGUCUAAUAUAUUAUUUGCUGUCAUGAAUAAUCAUUGUUUAAAUCACAAAUUUUUAAAUUUCCGGGUUGUCUGGAACGCAUCAUUGGUGGACCAAUCAUUGAGGAGUAUGCCUUAGUGGGCGUGUCUUCAGCGUUAACAGACAGACGUGCGUCACUCGAGCGUUAAAAACUUGUUCUUUCAACUUGAAAGUGGAAACUUGUUCAGUCUCUAAUAUUCCUGUGAAUAACAGCACGUUUACCUGCGCUUUGGACAGAAAUAACAACAUUUAUACUUCUGCUAAACAAACGAUGGACAAACUAUACCAAACACCUUCGAUGAGGACUGUCAUUGUUCUCAAUUUCCUAAGGAAUGCGAGUCAGAUGCGUCACCAUCCGUACCUUUACGCCCAGGCCUGCACUGAUUUUACAAUGGACUGGCAGUCCUGCAGGCGACCACGGCCUGUAUUUUCAAUGUAUGGACCGCCCAUCUCUGAACCAGGUUGUGGUGGUACCCACACCGGGGAGGAAGGAGGCCAUCUGUGGGAUCUACAACACAUCUUGCCUGGCAGCAUGAGCCAACCUCCUGAGGUCACUGAAAGCAUUUGCUCUCCAAACCAGCUCAGCUUUGCUUCCACUGAUCCUAAUGCAGCUCAUGUCUCUGACAUUGUUGGAAACCUAUUCCUCUACAGCCCUAUUUCUGACUUAUCAGGAUGUGUGGCUGAUGGCUUCCCUCUGCAGAGACAAACUGUUACUGAAGCUGAGGAACACAAUGUUUAACCCCCAACAAAACCUUGAUUCUGUUUUUAGGCCAAAUUACAGACGAUCCUCCAGCUCAGAGAAUGCUCAACCUGUGAACACUUGUAGUGUAAAUAUAUCAUGUAUAUAAUCCUCAUAUCCCUUUUAUCAAAUCACAUAUUCAGUAUUAAAAUUGUGAUGUGUUAUUCAAACUGUUUUACACUUUUUUAAAGAAUACUACUCUCUAAAAAUCUUCAUAUUCAUGCUUCUUAGGUGGAAAAAUUAUAUGUGUGAUGAAAUAAAAAUGAGUGGAUGACAAUAAUAUGUCUUUGU